UACGGGGGCAGCAGUGGGGAAUAUUGGACAAUGGGCGAAAGCCUGAUCCAGCAAUGCCGCGUGGGUGAAGAAGGUCUUCGGAUUGUAAAGCCCUUUCGGCGGGACGAUGAUGACGGUACCCGCAGAAGAAGCCCGGCUAACUUCGUGCCAGCACGCCGCGGUAA
rnacentral:rRNA from 1 species